AAUUUUUAUAAUUAUUGGUAUUGCAUAUCAUUUAAAGAAAAUUUUAUUGUAAUAAAAAAUAGAAUUAAAAGGUAGAAAAAUUUAUUAUUUUUAUUGUUUCAUAAUAAAAAUUAUAAUUUUUAGGUUUGAUAAGUCGACUUUUAGGAUAUCUGUUUUUUUUAGUUGGUUAGAAAUUUAUUAUUUUAAUUAAUUUUUUUAUAAAAAGUAAGAGUUGAAGUAUCUUUUAUGUUAGUUUUAUAACUGUUUAUAAAUGUAUAAAUUUUUAGUUUAAUUUAUUAAAAGUAAUAAGUUUUUAUUACAUUUUUUGUUUUAAAAUUAGUAGUAUUUUUAAAAUUGAAUUUUUAUUAUUAAAUUAAUUAAAAAACUCAAAAGCUGAUCAAAUGUUUUUUAAAGACUUAGACUUUUAAAUAAAGUUUGCUUCUGCCCAGUGAUUAAUAUUAAAUGGCAGUCUUAGCGUGAGGACAUUAAGGUAGCAAAAUAAUUUGUGCUUUUAUUGAGUUCCAGUAUGAAUGAAGUUAUUGGUUGGUUAAUUUUUUAAUUUUUAAAUGAACUUUUAAUUAACUAUAAAAAAUUGUUGUUAUAAUAGUACAAAGAUAAGUCUUCGGAAAUUCUUUUUUGAGGUAAAUAUUUGUUUAUCUUAAAAAUUUUCUAGGGCAGAAUUUUAUAUAAUUAUAAAUAUCUAUUAAUAAUUUUAAGAAUUACUCCGGAGUUAACAGAAAAUCAUAUCUAAUCUAGUUCUUAUAGUAAGAUAAGUUUUACAUCGAUGUUGUAUUUAAGUUUAUUAAAAAAGGAGAAGAUUUAAUUUUUAAGACUGUUCUUCUUUUAAUUAAUUUAACGUGAUAUUAGUUUAAUUCAUUGCGAGAUAGAAUUGUUUAUCUUGUUUAUUAUUUUUGUUAAGUUUUAAUAGUACGAAAGGAAAAUUAAAAAAAGUUUUAAACUUUAAAAGUGUUAGCU
rnacentral:rRNA from 1 species